UGUCUGGUACUAUAUCAUAGAAAUGGAUUUGGGCUUGGGCAUAUCAUUGAUUAAGAAUGGCAUUUGAUUCUUUUGUCUUUUGUAACGGCGUGACCUGGUGACAAAUAGGCGUGUUCACGUGCAUUUAUUUCACUUUCUGUGUCCAACUUUACUUGUCAAUAUUCCAUUAGUGCCAGAGAGAGAGAGAGAAGGUGAAUUGAGCCAUGGAACCUCCUCCAUCACAAUCCAUUGAAAUUUCUGGCCACGGAUACCAAGCUGGGGAUGAUACACAAGACAAGGUCAUCAAUGAAUGUUGCUCUUGUUGCUAUGACUGUACACAGGGUCUCUUCGAUUUCUUGUGCUGCAACUUUUGUUAGAAGUCUUUAGAUUAAAUUUCAGUGUUAUUACUUAAUACCAGCAAUAUGUAAAGUCAUUGGGACAUAGGUAUAUCGAGAAGUUCUUUUCCCAUCCCCUUUAUUACCAUAGAAUUGAUGGAUGAUCAGAAUUAACUAAGAAAAAGUUGUGAUUUUUAGUUAUUGUGACUUUUAGUAUGAAUAUUCUUCGUUUCUCUGUC